UACGUAGGGGGCGAGCGUUGUCCGGAUUUAUUGGGCGUAAAGAGCUCGUAGGCGGUUUGGCAAGUCGGGUGUGAAAACUCCGGGCUCAACUCGGAGACGCCACUCGAUACUGCGAUGACUCGAGUCCGGUAGGGGAGUGCGGAAUUCCUGGUGUAGCGGUGAAAUGCGCAGAUAUCAGGAGGAACACCGGUGGCGAAGGCGGCACUCUGGGCCGGUACUGACGCUGAGGAGCGAAAGCGUGGGGAGCGAACAGG
rnacentral:rRNA from 1 species